CUAGUAAUCGCAGAUCAGAAUGCUGCGGUGAAUACGUUCCCGGGUCUUGUACACACCGCCCGUCACACCAUGGGAGUCGGAAAUGCCCGAAGCCAGUGACCCAACCUUAAGGAGGGAGCUGUCGAAGGUGGAGCCGAUAACUGGGGUGAAGUCGUAACAAGGUACC
rnacentral:rRNA from 1 species